AUAUUAAAAAUUAACUGCUUAUUUUUCAUUACAAAAGUGUAGGCCGAAGCCUGUUAGAGUUAGUGGGCCAAAGCUAGUGUCGCCCUGAAGAGAGUGAGUAGGCCGAAGCCUGUUAGUGUUAGUUUGCCUCAGUGAGGGAACUCCUCCGUCAGUGUCAGGAGGCUUCUCUGUGAGGUAGGUCUCACAGUAUGAGGAAGGCCUGAUAUGGGAAGGCCAUGUAUGAGAGAAGCCUCCAGUAUAAAGGCUGCUAAUGAUGGAUGUCAUUAUGGUGUGCAUACUGAAAACUACAACUGGUGACAAAUUAAACAUUUUCAUCUACUAACUUCAAGGGUGGAAAGGCGAUAAAUAAAAAUACCCCAAAUCACCCAACUGUGAGAAUCAGGGUAGGAUGGAAUAUGAGUCACAAGUACAGCAACCUUUGGAGGAGAUAUAAGCUCACUGUUGCUGACUAUACCAACUCCUGAAGAAGGGGAUUUUUCCCCCGAAACCCUAUACCCGGGAACCCCUGUAGACUUUACUUGGGACUUUAUUUGGACAUUACUUGCGAAGACUUUCUUGAGAGCAGUGCUCCAUCAUUAUUUUCUUCAUUCUGUAUACAGCAACAUGACCAACCGCCUGUUUACUUUGUUUGGAAGAUAUUUUCAUUGAUUAUGUAUCCCUGAAGCCUAUAUACAUUGGAACCAAUAUCAGACUUAGAUAACUUUUCUGUUAGAGCUGUUGCUUCUUUUCAUUUUGUCUGGUACUACUGAAUUGAGCUUUGUACUGGGAAUUUUAAUAAUACUAUAUGCUAUUUGGAUAUUAUAUUUUCUUUGUACAUAGACCAUCUUGUGUUUGUGUAUCUACUCCUUUCCCCCCACCUCCACAUAAUAGUAACAGUAGUAGUAGUAGUAAUGAUAAUGAUAAUGAUAAUAAUAAUAAUUUUAUUUCUUAUCCACCUCUCCUUGUGGCUUGAGGAGGGCUACAGAAUAAUGAAAACACAUAAACCUUGUAAAAAUACUACAAUACACAUAUUAAAAUGUAUUUCUAUAAACAAUGGCUUCAAGAUACCAGAAUUUCCACUUCAGCCUCACCCCUGGAUUUAGAACAGAGAUCAGCCUAUUCUUUAAUCAAGGAGUCUUCUCCUUCUCAGCCCUGAUAUCUACCAGCAAACAUUGUUUCCCUUGAAACAACCACUUCCUAUGUUAAUGAGUUCCCGUGGUCAGAAAGGGGUGGGGCGGAUAGAGAAGCAGGCUCAAAAAUUCCACCAAUGAAGAGCCUUAUUACGUAUCCCACCACACACUUUACACCAGCAAGACUGUGGGUCAUAAUAUGUAUCAAUCAGAGUGAUGCCUAUUAGUUCAACAAUUAAUGUAUUGUGGAUCAACAAAACUAUGGAUUGUAUCUUGGACCAAUCGCAGCAAUGUCUAUUAUUUCAAAUGUCUGCCCAUGCCUGUAACUGUGAAUUAUGUCAGAUUUAGUAUUUCUUCCCCUGACAUCCUACUUUGGCCAAUGAAGGCUGGAAGGUUGACAGUACAAGCCAUGGUGGGGUGAGCUCCUGCCAUCAGCCCUAGCUUUUGCUUCCCUAGCAGUUCGAAAACAGCAAAGAGUAGAUAAAGAGAUCGCUUUGGCAGGGAGGUAAAAGGCGUCCCUGAAAAACAUGCUGGUAAUUCAAUCAGGAAGGUGUCCAUGGCUCCUUGGCAUGGAAAAAUGAAACAAUAGCACCUCCCCAUGGCUGAGUCGAGCACAGCCUCCAGAUGCCAGAGAUGGAAAAAUGAGGGAAACCUUGCCUCCGUUUAUGUACUGUCUGUCUUUGUCAAUUGUAUAACGGCACUGAAUAUUUGCCAUAUAUGUACCCGUAAUCCACUCUGAGUCUCCUUGGGGAGAUAUAAAUAAAUAAAGAUUGUUGUUAUUGUUGUUAUUAUUAUUGUUGUUGUUAAGCAAUAAACAAUUUCUGACCUUG